rnacentral:rRNA from 1 species
GACGAACGCUGGCGGCGUGCUUAACACAUGCAAGUCGAACGGAAAGGCCCUGCUUUUGUGGGGUGCUCGAGCGGCGAACGGGUGAGUAACAAGUGAGUAACCUGCCCUUGACUUUGGGAUAACUUCAGGAAACUGGGGCUAAUACCGGAUAGGAGCUCCUGCUGCAUGGUGGGGGUUGGAAAGUUUCGGCGGUUGGGGAUGGACUCGCGGCUUAUCAGCUUGUUGGUGGGGUAGUGGCUUACCAAGGCUUUGACGGGUAGCCGGCCUGAGAGGGUGACCGGCCACAUUGGGACUGAGAUACGGCCCAGACUCCUACGGGAGGCAGCAGUGGGGAAUAUUGCACAAUGGGCGGAAGCCUGAUGCAGCAACGCCGCGUGCGGGAUGACGGCCUUCGGGUUGUAAACCGCUUUCGCCUGUGACGAAGCGUGAGUGACGGUAAUGUGUAAAGAAGCUCCGGCUAACUACGUG